rnacentral:lncRNA from 1 species
GGAAAUUUGACACCACAUAAAAAGGUGCGUUAACGUCCCACCUAAGCUGGGGGGCUAGUAAUUGUUACUUACAUCAGAAAUUUAUAAUCACAUCCCAUCGUCUCCUUACAGGUCGAGAACCUACUACGUGAGGAUGUAUAUGAAUCAAUCAAUGCGCUGCUUGAUCGAAGACACUCCAUACCACAUCACCAAGGGUAACUAUACUUCUACUAGAAUUCAACACACAGAUAAUCUUAUUUACGAUUACUAACGUGACAAAAUAAUCCCACCAGCAGGCAGGAUUGCAUAGCAACUCGCAGCAACUCACGAAUUCAUUUCAUAUCUGGGAGCGCGAGAAAGAAAUAUCAACCCCCGUAGUAGGGUACGUGAAAGAGCAAUACACAUCACCAUAGCUUCAAUUACUACAUCAUCAAUACAAGCGAUUAAAUAGAUUCUCUUUUUCUCAAUUGUACUUGACAGGCACAGAGACACCAAAAGAAGUCAAUCUACCAUCCGCACAGUGAAACGACCAAGUACAAGGAAGACGUGGAAGAAGAACAAGUGUAGCACAAUCACUCAGAAGAAUUUUUAUUUUAUU